UCAACCCUCAAGCCCGGCUUGUUAUUGGGUCCCUUAUCGUUAAAGAUAGGCCCGAAAGAUAAUGGCGGCGUCAUGAAUGACCCCAGGUGCAGCGAGCUUAUAGCAUACACUGAGGUGGUCUUUGUGGCCCGGCCCCUUUUCGUUAAAGCAAUUUAACUAAACUCAAA
rnacentral:misc_RNA from 1 species